GAUGAACGCUGGCGGUGUGCCUAAUACAUGCAAGUCGUACGCAUUCUCGUUUCUGAUUGACGGUACUUGCACCUAAUUGACGAGACAUUGGAAUGAGUGGCGGACGGGUGAGUAACACGUGGGUAACCUGCCCAGAAGUGGGGGAUAACAUUUGGAAACAGAUGCUAAUACCGCAUAAAAGUCAAAACCACAUGGUUUUGAUUUAAAAGAUGGCCUUUGUGCUAUCACUUCUGGAUGGACCCGCGGCGUAUUAGCUAGUUGGUAAGGUAACGGCUUACCAAGGCAAUGAUACGUAGCCGAACUGAGAGGUUGAUCGGCCACAAUGGGACUGAGACACGGCCCAUACUCCUACGGGAGGCAGCAGUAGGGAAUCUUCCACAAUGGGCGCAAGCCUGAUGGAGCAACACCGCGUGAGUGAAGAAGGGUUUCGGCUCGUAAAACUCUGUUGUUAAAGAAGAACGUAUCUAAGAGUAACUGCUUAGGUAGUGACGGUAUUUAACCAGAAAGCCACGGCUAACUACGUGCCAGCAGCCGCAGUAA
rnacentral:rRNA from 1 species